rnacentral:lncRNA from 1 species
CUUCAAUGAGCUCCUGCUCAGCUACUUCUACUUGUUGAACCUCAGAAUCCACAGUGGCUUGCUCGUCUAUUCGCAUCAACACAAUACAUACAUAGUAUAGCCAAAAUCAACAUCACACCAAACAGAUGAAUAAAAUAUACAGUAAAAAUCUACACAUUAAAAUGAAAUCAUAGGAACUGGAAUCACUAAAUUUGGAGUUAUAGAAUUCAAGUUAUGAAUUUCCUAAGGUUUAAUGUGAUUAAAAUAGGAUUAAAUGUUUAAAUUAAUGUUCUUACUGUUUUUAUGCCAAAACAGAGAUACUAAAUGAUAGAGAAGAUUAUUACAAAAUUUUAGAAAUUGGAAUGGGGUAAUUUGGAGUUCAUAUGAGUUUUCUAUGGAAUAAACAAGUCCUAGGAGUUGUUUUUUAUUAAAAAUACAUUUCCUAAUUUAUUUAAUCUGAUUUUCCUUUCCCUGGAUUGCGCCCCAAUAUUCAGAAAGGUUAAGGGCUCAGGCGUAAGAAAACCCCAGACUCAGAGGGCUGCAGCAUUGGACGGCGGGUUGAUAAUACAAAACCCCAGGGUUUAUUUUACAAAUCCUGCAGCUGAAGGGGUACGGGAGGAUUGCAGCCGCUCGAUUAGAUUUAAAUGGCCCGGAUUAGAAAAUGAAGAGGUAUGCAUCCAGAGCCCUAGGAUUUGAGAUCAAUGCUCUGGAUUUUAAAACGCCAGGAACACCCCUCGCCCCUCCAUCCAUCGAUCAACGGCCAGGAUGGGCCAUGGCCGAAACACCAUCCUACACCUAUUCACGAUCGCACAAUCACGAUCCGACGGCCAUGGCUCUUCUCUCUCACCUUAAUCCCGAGACGGCGGCGCAUGGCCCUGACGCGGCGGAGCCAUGGCCGGCGCACUCCCAAAUUCGGCUCCAUCAAUCGAACUUCGAUCCGAAGGCAAUAUCACGCAAAGGAUAACGAUGCGAUACGAUGGGGAGGUUGCUCACCGUGAUUCCAAGAGUGCCCCGGGCCAUCCACGGGGAGCGGCGGAUCCCAGCGUUCGACGAUGAAUCCCGGCCGCCACAGGGUCAAUCCUUCCCUAUCCGGCCACGGGUGUUCCACCGGCCAGCACAUGAAGCUUCUGGACUCAUCGCAGACCCCCAAACGUCAGUCGUGGACGGGGACGAUGCUGACGGCGUCCCUGCUCUCAACUCUCUCUUCUGCUCAGGCGCUGGCGGCCGAGAAGUGCGUCGCGGGUGGAUUCGAUCGUGGAGGCCGCGCGGUCAGUGACAGGACGGAUCGAUUUGAGGUCCGUGAUGCCGGAGUUGGCCGCGGCGGUGGUUUAUUAUGGCCAUGGCGACCCGCACAGAGGGAUGAAGCCU